rnacentral:misc_RNA from 1 species
GUAGGUGAACCUGCGGAAGGAUCAUUAACACGUUAUCCAACGUAUCAAAUCAUAUGAGAACUUAUUCCCUAAGACAUAACUGAGGUUGGCAAUCAGGUCAGAUUGAGUCGUUCUUCGGAACGUCGUCCUGAGAUGCAUAAGGGUUAGAUACCCUGAGACCACGACCAUGCGCUUAGGCUUUCACUAUUUCUUCAUACCUAUCAAUUUGGGUAUGUUGGGAUGACACUAUACAAUUUCACGAUAUUAAACC